UCGUGUGUACUUGAAUGCAGCAUAGUGGCGUAACAGCUGCGCAUGCGCCACGGAAUCCAGUUCGACGGUUUGUUUUAUUUUGGCGGCUACAGACGGAGCGGAGAGCUGCUGGAGUCUUCAGAAAAGAACCAGAAUGGAGGAGCAGAACCAGGACCAGAACCCCACGAGGAGGAACAAAGCGGGAUCAUCCUCUGAUACCACCGGUCGGCAGUAAAAGUUUGUGCUGAAACAGUGCGAUGUUGUU